GGAGGGUGCAAGCGUUAAUCGGAAUCACUGGGCGUAAAGCGUACGUAGGCGGCGCAUCAAGUCAGGCGUGAAAGCCCUCGGCUCAACCGAGGAAUUGCGUUUGAAACUGUUGUGCUUGAGUCUCGGAGAGGUUGGCGGAAUUCCAGGUGUAGGAGUGAAAUCCGUAGAGAUCUGGAGGAAUACCGAUGGCGAAGGCAGCCAUCUGGCCUAAUACUGACGCUGAGGUACGAAAGCAUGGGGAGCAAACAGGAUUAGAUACCCUGGUAGUCCAUGCCGUAAACGAUGUCUACUAGCCGUUGGG
rnacentral:rRNA from 1 species